CAACACACGAGCCUGUUCAGGAGUCAGGACAUCCCCCUCCUUACAGAUUUCAUAAUCUGAAAGCAGUGUCACCACUCCUGCAAGAACACGGAAAAAGGCAGGUGGGAUGAAUGGCACUUGAGGCAGAGGACCAUUGAGGUCACUUGAAACUUCCUAUCUGGGACUUUUGCUACCAACUUUGUAAUGAAGCUAGUUGGACUCCAUUCCAUCCAGCAGGGUUUCAGUGAUGGUUCUUACUUAAGUUUACCAUUUAUUCUGAUUUUUCCCUCUGUCCUUCAAAACUGGUUGAUUUUGAUCUAGGCUUACUUAUUUGAACUCUUAACAAUACAUACAGAUUCAUUCUUGAAACCAGUCUGUCACAGCCAAAGGUGAACCCUGUGAUUGAUCUACUGUUAUGUAGUCAGAAAAUAUCAGAUAUGAAACAAGUGUUGAAGUCUUGUUCGUGGCUCUCUCAUUUUCAUGCAAAUAUCAGUUCAGCCUGUUUCUACCAAAGGAAUUUGGAGGAGGGAAAUCAACAAACUACUCCACGUGUUAUUUUUUGCAAAGACAUAGCAUGACACAAAUGUUAUCUUCCAGUUGAGAAAUCCUUGUUAUUUGUAGGUCAGGUCAGGUUGUCACCAGCUAACUGGCUUGAAAAAGAAAAACACCUUGCAAAUGGAGCCUUUGUCAGGUGCCUGGGCUCACGCAUGCCAGAAUGUUACGAUAU